GAUGAACGCUGGCGGCGUGCCUAAUACAUGCAAGUCGAGCGAACGGACGAGAAGCUUGCUUCUCUGAUGUUAGCGGCGGACGGGUGAGUAACACGUGGAUAACCUACCUAUAAGACUGGGAUAACUUCGGGAAACCGGAGCUAAUACCGGAUAAUAUUUUGAACCGCAUGGUUCAAAAGUGAAAGACGGUCUUGCUGUCACUUAUAGAUGGAUCCGCGCUGCAUUAGCUAGUUGGUAAGGUAACGGCUUACCAAGGCAACGAUGCAUAGCCGACCUGAGAGGGUGAUCGGCCACACUGGAACUGAGACACGGUCCAGACUCCUACGUGAGGCAGCAGUAGGGAAUCUUCCGCAAUGGGCGAAAGCCUGACGGAGCAACGCCGCGUGAGUGAUGAAGGUCUUCGGAUCGUAAAACUCUGUUAUUAGGGAAGAACAUAUGUGUAAGUAACUGUGCACAUCUUGACGGUACCUAAUCAGAAAGCCACGGCUAACUACGUGCUAGCAGCCGCGGUAAUACGUAGGUGGCAAGCGUUAUCCGGGAUUAUUGGGCGUAAAGCGCGCGUAGGCGGUUUUUUAAGUCUGAUGUGAAAGCCCACGGCUCAACCGUGGAGGGUCAUUGGAAACUGGAAAACUUGAGUGCAGAAGAGGAAAGUGGAAUUCCAUGUGUAGCGGUGAAAUGCGCAGAGAUAUGGAGGGACACCAGUGGCGAAGGCGACUUUCUGGUCUGUAACUGACGCUGAUGUGCGAAAGCGUGGGGAUCAAACAGGAUUAGAUACCCUGGUAGUCCACGCCGUAAACGAUGAGUGCUAAGUGUUAGGGGGUUUCCGCCCCUUAGUGCUGCAGCUAACGCAUUAAGCACUCCGCCUGGGGAGUACGACCGCAAGGUUGAAACUCAAAGGAAUUGACGGGGACCCGCACAAGCGGUGGAGCAUGUGGUUUAAUUCGAAGCAACGCGAAGAACCUUACCAAAUCUUGACAUCCUCUGACAACUCUAGAGAUAGAGCCUUCCCCUUCGGGGGACAAAGUGACAGGUGGUGCAUGGUUGUCGUCAGCUCGUGUCGUGAGAUGUUGGGUUAAGUCCCGCAACGAGCGCAACCCUUAAGCUUAGUUGCCAUCAUUAAGUUGGGCACUCUAAGUUGACUGCCGGUGACAAACCGGAGGAAGGUGGGGAUGACGUCAAAUCAUCAUGCCCCUUAUGAUUUGGGCUACACACGUGCUACAAUGGACAAUACAAAGGGCAGCGAAACCGCGAGGUCAAGCAAAUCCCAUAAAGUUGUUCUCAGUUCGGAUUGUAGUCUGCAACUCGACUACAUGAAGCUGGAAUCGCUAGUAAUCGUAGAUCAGCAUGCUACGGUGAAUACGUUCCCGGGUCU
rnacentral:rRNA from 1 species